UACGUAAAUGGAUACAAGGAACGCUUUUA
rnacentral:piRNA from 1 species